AUACGGGGGGAGCAAGCGUUGUCCGGAAUCACUGGGCGUAAAGGGCGUGUAGGCGGGCUGGUAAGUCAGGUGUGAAAGCCCCGGGCUUAACCUGGGAAUUGCAUUCGAAACUGCCAAGCUAGAGUAUGUUAGAGGAAAGUGGAAUUCCCGGUGUAGUGGUGAAAUGCGUAGAUAUCGGGAGGAACACCAGUGGCGAAAGCGGCUUGCUGGGACAGUUCUGACGCUGAGGGACGAAAGCGUGGGUAGCAAACCAGAUUAGAAACCCCAGUAGUCC
rnacentral:rRNA from 1 species